rnacentral:rRNA from 1 species
GAAGCGUGUGUCCAAGUCCCUUGGAACAGGGCGCCAUUGAGGGUGAGAGCCCCGUGGGAUGCGCGCGGAAGCAACAAGGCCCUUCUGACGAGUCGAGUUGUUUGGGAAUGCAGCUCUAAGCGGGUGGUAAAUUCCAUCUAAGGCUAAAUACUGGCGAGAGACCGAUAGCGAACAAGUACUGUGAAGGAAAGAUGAAAAGCACUUUGAAAAGAGAGUGAAACAGCACGUGAAAUUGUUGAAAGGGAAGGGUAUUGGGCCCGACAUGGGGAUUGCGCAUCUCUGCUCCUUGUGGGCGGGGCGCUGUGCUUUUCCUGGGCCAGCAUCGGUUUUUGCCGCAGGAGAAGGGGUACUGGAAUGUGGCUCCUCGGAGUGUUAUAGCCAGUGCCAGAUGCUGCGUGCGGGGACCGAGGGCUGCGACAUCUGUCUCGGAUGCUGGCACCACGGCGCAAUACCGCCCCUCUUGAAACACGGACCAAAACGGCCGUGUUUCAACACAGGAAAAGGUCCCCCCAUUUAUAGGCAAAAAAGGGGUUUUUUUUCCCGAGAUAUUUGCCCCCCCGUUUUUUAUAGAGAAAGGGUGUAGUUGAAA